rnacentral:rRNA from 1 species
GACGAACGCUGGCGGCGUGCUUAACACAUGCAAGUCGAACGAUGAAGCACCAGCUUGCUGGUGUGGAUUAGUGGCGAACGGGUGAGUAACACGUGAGUAACCUGCCCCUCACUCUGGGAUAAGCCUGGGAAACUGGGUCUAAUACUGGAUACGACCGAUCUCCGCAUGGAGUGUUGGUGGAAAGGUUUUGUGGUGGGGGAUGGACUCGCGGCCUAUCAGCUUGUUGGUGGGGUAAUGGCCUACCAAGGCGACGACGGGGAGCCGGCCUGAGAGGGCGACCGGCCACACUGGGACUGAGACACGGCCCAGACUCCUACGGGAGGCAGCAGUGGGGAAUAUUGCACAAUGGGCGAAAGCCUGAUGCAGCGACGCCGCGUGAGGGAUGACGGCCUUCGGGUUGUAAACCUCUUUCACCAGGGACGAAGCUAACGUGACGGUACCUGGAGAAGAAGCACCGGCUAACUACGUG